rnacentral:rRNA from 1 species
GACGAACGCUGGCGGCGUGCUUAACACAUGCAAGUCGAACGGAAAGGCCCUGCCUUUGUGGGGUGCUCGAGUGGCGAACGGGUGAGUAACACGUGAGUAACCUGCCCCUGACUUUGGGAUAACUUCAGGAAACUGGGGCUAAUACCGGCUAGGAGCUCCUGCUGCAUGGUGGGGGUUGGAAAGUUUCGGCGGUUGGGGAUGGACUCGCGGCUCAUCAGCUUGUUGGUGGGGUAGUGGCUUACCAAGGCUUUGACGGGUAGCCGGCCUGAGAGGGUGACCGGCCACAUUGGGACUGAGAUACGGCCCAGACUCCUACGGGAGGCAGCAGUGGGGAAUAGUGCACAAUGGGCGGAAGCCUGAUGCAGCAACGCCGCGUGCGGGAUGACGGCCUUCGGGUUGUAAACCGCUUUCGCCUGUGACGAAGCGUGAGUGACGGUAAUGGGUAAAGAAGCACCGGCUAACUACGUG